rnacentral:rRNA from 1 species
CGGACGGGUGAGUAAUGCCUAGGAAUCUGCCUGGUAGUGGGGGACAACGUUUCGAAAGGAACGCUAAUACCGCAUACGUCCUACGGGAGAAAGCAGGGGACCUUCGGGCCUUGCGCUAUCAGAUGAGCCUAGGUCGGAUUAGCUAGUUGGUGAGGUAAUGGCUCACCAAGGCGACGAUCCGUAACUGGUCUGAGAGGAUGAUCAGUCACACUGGAACUGAGACACGGUCCAGACUCCUACGGGAGGCAGCAGUA